UAAAUUUUUUUAUUUUAAAAUUUGAAAUCUUAUCCCAAAACCUCACUUCUCAACUCUAAACCCUAAAACCUAAACUCUAAACCCUAAACCCUAAAUUCUAAACUCUAUAUCCCACCCCUUGAGUGCUAUUUUUGUGACUUUUGGCUUUGAGUGCUAGUUUGGGAACAAAAACUUGAUUUAGUGUUAUUUUGGUCUUUUUCUCAUUAUUUAUUUGGGAUGAGUUCUUAAAAAUGAUUGCGUUUAUCUGUUACUCUCUCUUUUUAUGAAAACAGAAGUUUUGAGAUAUUUAUUCAUUUUACAAAUAUAUAAGUUUUUGUAUUUUCAGUGUAAUUUUUAAUUAUUUUUAUCCAUAUAAAUUAAGACAAUUACUAUUGAAACAAGGUUUACUCUUUUGAAGUUAAGUUACUAAAAAAAUUUCUUUUGACAUUGUAAAAUUAUUUUGUGAGGUGGGUGAAAAUUUCAAAACUUCUACUUUUGUGGAAAGAGGGAGUAGUUAAAUUGAUAAAAACUAAUGAUUUAAAUUGAUAUAUUUGUCGGUUAGAGCACCAUUAUCGGGGGCUCUUAAUAGGGUUUUCAGCUUAAUUAAAAAUAAAAAGAAAAUGAAAAAUAGCAACUAACACAAGGGACGUCUCUUAAUUAGGCAACAGAAGAGACGGUUUUUGAGCCACGCGUCGCGGUGAAAUCGUUUUGGGAGGAGACUUCGGUGGGAGAAAAAAUCAGUCUCAAAUCAUCUUCUACUACGUUUGUCUGAGCCUUUCGGUGUCACGGUGAAAUCGUCGUCGUUUGUCUGAGCCUUUCACGUUCGUCAAAACUCCAAACCUAGAAGGAGAGCCGCUCUCGCUCUCGCCGUUAAAGUCGGAGGUCCAAGAUGGGCUAGUGUUAAUUUAGGUAUCUUUAUCUGUAUGCAAUGUUCUGGGAUCCACAGGAGUCUCGGCGUACGCUUAGAUAGAAAGAAAGAAAGAAGUGCCCUGAGCUUGAAGAAAACGUUUCAGACCAAGAACUACCGGUUAGUUCAAUAUCAUUGAUCAAUUGAAGUUUUUUGAUUGUGCAUUAUGGUAAAGUUUGUUGUAAUGAAAGUGUUUUAUAUUUUUUUUUAAAGAACCCAUAGUUAAGAGACUUGCAAUAAACCACUUAAAUGUUUAAAUCUCUUUCUAAGUCUUUUAACUCA